UUCGGACGGCCGUAAUGAUUAAUAGGGACAGUCGGGGGCAUCAGUAUUCAGUGGUCAGAGGUGAAAUUCUUGGAUCCACUGAAGACUAACUACUGCGAAAGCAUUUGCCAAGGAUGUUUUCAUUAAUCAGGAACGAAAGUUAGGGGAUCGAAGACGAUCAGAUACCGUCGUAGUCUUAACCAUAAACUAUGCCGACUAGGGAUCGGACGGUGGUAUUUUUUGCCCCGUCCGGCACCUUACGAGAAAUCAAAGUGCUUGGGCUCCAGGGGGAGUAUGGUCGCAGGGCUGAAACUUAAAGAAAUUGACGGAAGGGCACCACCAGGAGUGGAGCCUGCGGCUUAAUUUGACUCAACACGGGGAAACUCACCAGGUCCAGACACAAUAAGGAUUGACAGAUUGAGAGCUCUUUCUUGAUUUUGUGGGUGGUGGUGCAUGGCCGUUCUUAGUUGGUGGAGUGAUUUGUCUGCUUAAUUGCGAUAACGAACGAGACUUUGACUUUUAAAUAGCUAGGCUAGCUUUGGCUGGUCGCUGGCUUCUUAGAAGGACUAUUUGCUCAAGCAAAUGGAAGUGCGAAGCAAUAACAGGUCUGUGAUGCCCUUAGAUGUUCUGGGCCGCACGCGCGCUACACUGACAGAGCCAACGAGUUCUUCCUUAGCCGAAAGGUUUGGGUAAUCUUGUUAAACUCUGUCGUGCUGGGGAUAGAGCAUUGCAAUA
rnacentral:rRNA from 1 species